AUUUUUUUUUUUAAUUCAUUUCCUUAAAGUACUGAAUGAGUUGAGACCUCAGUCCACUUUUCCUGGAUUUUUUUUCUUCACUCAAAUUGACAGAGAAAUCGAUUUUUGAAGUUGUCAUAUUCUGGACUCAUUUGAAACGAUAUUUGUUGCAGUUUCUUAUUUCUUAAUUGACAUAGGCAGGCAAGGGAGUCUACAUUUACCGAUUGGCUAAGCUGUGCCAAAACAUAAUUUACUUAUGUCAUCACAACUUUCGGCCUCUAGCUGGUCAGAUUUGAAUAAGCUUUAUCUCUCCUUGAAAGUAUUUUUCAAACUUUUUAAUGGACUUUUUGGUUUUUUUUUAUGAAAUUUACUAUUUAGAAUAAUUGUUGGAUACAUUGCACCUAGAAAUAUUAUGCAACUGACCCAGUGACCCAUAUUUUGCCGUUAGUGUGAAUAUAGAAUAUUCUAAUUACUGAAUUUUUAAAAAGUUGAUCUUGCCCACAUUUAAACCCGUUUCUUCGAGAAUGAUUCCUUUGUGUUUUUCAAAUUUGGAACAGACUGGACUAACUCACUGCAACAGUAGUAUUCUAUUGUUUUUUUUUUUUUUUUUUUUUUUUUUUACUUCAAGCAGACACGAUAAUCUGAGUUGUCAUUAACUCUCUCUAAUUUUCAGAUUUCUCAGCAAUAUCUUAGAGAAGGAAUGUUCUCAUUCAAAAAUCAUUUUGAUAGCAGAGUAAUAUCCUCCAAAUCACGUAAUAGGAAUCCCUCUAUCAUCUCCUGACGUGAGCUCCGUUUACACUAGCAAAGUAUGGAUUCACAAGAAGACAGCAUAUCUAUUGUUUCUCCUGAAAGAUUAACAACUCCAGUAAAAAAAGAAUGUGUACAAGUUUGUUGUUCGAUGCAGACCAAUGAAUCAAAAAGAAGUUGAACAAGGAUACAAUAAUGUCGUGGAAGUUUAUCCAGAUGCUUCGAGUGUAGAAAUUAUUACCCCAAAUGAUAACAUGAAAACCAACAAGAAAGCUUUUACCUUUGAUGCUGUGCAUGAUUGGAAGUAAGUUUAUGAAAGUAGUUUACAAUUUGUCAGCUCUCAGCCAAAGAAAAAAAUGUAGUUGAGCAUCUCUGUAUUGUUUUAAUUUUUUCUUUAAGCCUUUGAAUACACUCUCAUGAAAAUUUCAAGAAUUAUUGUCAGAGACAAAAGAAUUAUUGUGUAAAAUUUUCAGGGAUUCUGUUCAUUAGUUUCUCUGCAAAAAAUUGGAUGAGUUUGAGAAGUUUUGCAACACAGUACCUAAGCACAAAUGGCGCAUGUGAUACUUUGACCGGGAGGUAACAAAUUCUUUCCAUACUGGAUUUGGAGAUGUUUUUUUAUCAUUAUUUCUAGUAUAUGAAAAGCAGGAUGCUAUAGCAGUUCUGUACUUUUCUUAAAAAAA
rnacentral:lncRNA from 1 species